UGUGUGUGUGUGUUGUGUCUCGUCUCAGCCGGGUGUGAAGUUGUAAUAAGAGGUGAAAAUUCGUUUAGUUUUCUCAAAAGCUCAGCACCAGGGUGUUUUUAUGAUUCUUCCAGACCCUAGUUCAACUAUCAUGAGAGCUUCACCCAGGGAUAAACGAAUUAAAUACGAUUCACGUCAUUGCCACACGUCCGCCUCGGCACACAGGCCGGGUGAAGGCGAGGGUGCCAAUACUUUUAUCUAUGCAGAAGACGUACGGUAAGAAGAUGUGCAGCUUUGUUGGACGACGUUAAGGAACAACAAAAAGGUGUUCAGUGGCUGAAUCUCAAACUCUGUUUUGUGCUCUGUACUGGGUAGGGCACUGGCUAGGGCACUAGGUAGGACACUGGGUAGGACACUGGGUAGGACACUGGGUAGGGCACUAGCUAGGGCACUAGGAAGGGCACUGGCUAGGGCACUAGGAAGGGCACUGGGUAGGGCACUAGCUAGGGAACUAGGAAGGGCACUGGGUAGGGCACUGGGUAGGGUACUAGCUAGGGCGCUAGGAAGGGCACUGGGUAGGGCACUGGGUAGGGUACUAGGUAGGGCACUAGGAAGGGCACUGGGUAGGGCACUAGGUAGGGUACUAGCC
ensembl:lncRNA